AAUUCGAUGCAACGCGAAGAACCUUACCAGGGUUUGACAUCCUGCGAAUUCCUUGGAAACUUGGAAGUGCCUUCGGGAGCGCAGUGACAGGUGGUGCAUGGCUGUCGUCAGCUCGUGUCGUGAGAUGUUGGGUUAAGUCCCGCAACGAGCGCAACCCACGUCUUUAGUUGCCAGCAUUAAGUUGGGCACUCUAGAGAGACCGCCGGUGAUAAACCGGAGGAAGGUGUGGAUGACGUCAAGUCAUCAUGCCCCUUACAUCCUGGGCUACACACGUACUACAAUGCUACGGACAAAGGGCAGCAAACUCGCGAGAGCUAGCAAAUCCCAUAAACCGUGGCUCAGUUCAGAUCGUAGGCUGCAACUCGCCUACGUGAAGGAGGAAUCGCUAGUAAUCGCAGGUCAGCAUACUGCGGUGAAUACGUUCCCGGGCCUUGUACACACCGCCCAUCACACCAUGGAAGUUGGCCACGCCCGAAGUCGUUACUCCAACCCUUGUGGAGGAGGAUGCCGAA
rnacentral:rRNA from 1 species